rnacentral:rRNA from 1 species
GACCCCGGUUGAUCCUACCGGACCCGACUGCUAUCGGAAUAGGACUAAGCCAUGCGAGUUGAACGCUUCUUGACCAUGCGAGAAACGUAGCACACGGCUCAGUAACACGUAGUCAACCUGCCCUGAGGACGCGGAUAACCCCGGGAAACUGGGACUAAGCCGCGAUAGGCCACGACAUCUGGAAUGAGUAGUGGCUCAAAAGGGAAGAUGGGCAUGUUUAUCCUCACGCCUCAGGAUGGGACUGCGGCCGAUCAGGCUGUUGGCGGGGUAAUGGCCCACCAAACC